GGAAUAUUGGGCAAUGGGCGAAAGCCUGACCCAGCCAUGCCGCGUGAGUGACGAAGGCCUUAGGGUUGUAAAGCUCUUUUGGCGGGGACGAUGAUGACGGUCCCCGCAGAAUAAGCCCCGGCUCACUUCGUGCCAGCAGCCGCGGUAAUACGAAGGGGGCUAGCGUUGUUCGGAAUCACGGGGCGUAAAGCGCACGUAGGCGGACUUUCAAGUCAGGGGUGAAAUCCCGGGGCUCAACCUCGGAACUGCCUUUGAUACUGUUGGUCUCGAGUCCGGAUGAGGUGGGUGGAAUUCCUAGUGUAGAGGUGAAAUUCGUAGAUAUUAGGAAGAACACCGGUGGCGAAGGCGGCCCACUGGUCCGGUACUGACGCUGAGGUGCGAAAGCGUGGGGAGCAAAC
rnacentral:rRNA from 1 species